rnacentral:rRNA from 1 species
GGCGAACGGGUGAGUAACACGUGGGUGAUCUGCCCUGCACUCUGGGAUAAGCCUGGGAAACUGGGUCUAAUACCGGAUAGGACCAUGCUUUAGUGUGUGUGGUGGAAAGUUUUUCGGUGUAGGAUGAGCCCGCGGCCUAUCAGCUUGUUGGUGGGGUAAUGGCCUACCAAGGCGGCGACGGGUAGCCGGCCUGAGAGGGUGUACGGCCACAUUGGGACUGAGAUACGGCCCAG